rnacentral:rRNA from 1 species
GAUGAACGCUGGCGGCGUGCCUAAUACAUGCAAGUCGAGCGAACGGACGAGAAGCUUGCUUCUCUGAUGUUAGCGGCGGACGGGUGAGUAACACGUGGAUAACCUACCUAUAAGACUGGGAUAACUUCGGGAAACCGGAGCUAAUACCGGAUAAUAUUUUGAACCGCAUGGUUCAAAAGUGAAAGACGGUCUUGCUGUCACUUAUAGAUGGAUCCGCGCUGCAUUAGCUAGUUGGUAAGGUAACGGCUUACCAAGGCAACGAUGCAUAGCCGACCUGAGAGGGGGAUCGGCCACCCUGGAACUGAGCCACGGUCCAGACUCCUACGGGAGGCAGCAGUAGGGAAUCUUCCGCAAUGGGCGAAAGCCUGACGGAGCAACGCCGCGUGAGUGAUGAAGGUCUUCGGAUCGUAAAACUCUGUUAUUAGGGAAGAACAUAUGUGUAAGUAACUGUGCACAUCUUGACGGUACCUAAUCAGAAAGCCACGGCUAACUACGUG